AACGAACGCUGGCGGCAGGCCUAACACAUGCAAGUCGAGCGCCCCGCAAGGGGAGCGGCGGACGGGUGAGUAACGCGUGGGAACGUGCCCUUUGCUACGGAAUAGCCCCGGGAAACUGGGAGUAAUACCGUAUAAGCCCUACGGGGGAAAGAUUUAUCGGCAAAGGAUCGGCCCGCGUUGGAUUAGGUAGUCGGUGGGGUAAUGGCCUACCAAGCCGACGAUCCAUAGCUGGUUUGAGAGGAUGAUCAGCCACACUGGGACUGAGACACGGCCCAGACUCCUACGGGAGGCAGCAGUGGGGAAUCUUAGACAAUGGGCGCAAGCCUGAUCUAGCCAUGCCGCGUGAGCGAUGAAGGCCUUAGGGUUGUAAAGCUCUUUCGUGGGGGAAGAUAAUGACUGUACCCCAAGAAGAAGCCCCGGCUAACUCCGUGCAGCAGCCGCCGUAAUAC
rnacentral:rRNA from 1 species